CCUGGCUUAUAUCGAAGCCACUCGGGCAUUUUGCCUUUUGAUGGUCAAAAUUAAGCCAAGAUUAAAAACUUUGCAUUUGGUCGCAUGUCUUCCGUUUUCAAGAGUUCAUGCAUUACCCAUGUAAAGGACAAUU